GGAUUGUGGCUCAGCGGUAGAGCACUCGUCUAGCACGUGUGAGGCCCGGGGUUCAAUCCUCAGAACCA
rnacentral:tRNA from 1 species